UCCGAGUUAACCCCGGCAGUCUCCCAUGAGUCCCCGGCAUGACCCGCUGGCAACAUAGGACGAGGGUUGCGCUCGUUGCGGGACUUAACCCAACAUCUCACGACACGAGCUGACGACAACCAUGCACCACCUGUGUACGACUCCGAAGAACCUGACAUUUCUGCCAGUUUUCCGUACAUGUCAAACCUUGGUAAGGUUUUUCGCGUUUCAUCGAAUUAAGCCACAUGCUCCGCCGCUUGUGCGGAUCCCCGUCAAUUCCUUUGAGUUUUAGCCUUGCGGCCGUACUCCCCAGGCGGGGUGCUUAAUGCGUUAGCUUCGGCACAGAACCAUAAUAGCCCCAUACCUAGCACCCAUCGUUUACAGCGUGGACUAC
rnacentral:misc_RNA from 1 species